rnacentral:misc_RNA from 1 species
AACGCACAUUGCGCCCCUUGGUAUUCCAUGGGGCAUGCCUGUUCGAGCGUCAUUUACACCCUCAAGCUCUGCUUGGUGUUGGGCGUCUGUCCCGCCUCUGCGCGCGGACUCGCCCCAAAUUCAUUGGCAGCGGUCUUUGCCUCCUCUCGCGCAGCACAUUGCGUUUCUUGAGGUUGUGCAGCUCGCAUCCAUUAAGCAUUAUUACCGUCUUUGACCUCGGAUCAGGUAGGGAUACCCGCUGAACUUAA